rnacentral:rRNA from 1 species
AGUCUCAGUUCGGAUCGGAGUCUGNAACCCGACUACCGUGAAGCUGGAUUCGCUAGUAAUCGCGCAUCAGCCAUGGCGCGGUGAAUACGUUCCCGGGCCUUGUACACACCGCCCGUCAAGCCAUGGAAGCCGGGGGUGCCUGAAGUGUGCAGCCGCAAGGAGCGCCCUAAGGUAAAACCGGUGACUGGGGCUAAGUCGUAACAAGGUAGC